GCUCUAUGAGCUCAGUUGGUAGAGCGUGUCUCUCUUAAUCUCAGGGUCGUGGGUUCAGGCCACACAUUGGGCU